UGCCGCUUGCUGGAUGGGUUCCAUAUAAGAACCGGUGGUGGCGGGGGUGGUGGGGAGAGGGUAGUUGGAAGCCUGGGACAGGACUCGGAGUGGGAAGACUGGGCCAGAGGUCCAGAGAAGAAUUCCCAGCUCCCUGCCAGGGGAUUUGGCUGCAGAAUUCCUUAUGGAGGAGCGAAGUGUCCUUAAAAUGAAGGCUGUUUGGGUUCAUCUGUUUAACCAGCCCAGGCUCAACCAGCAGUUCAGAGACGGGGUUUCACCAUGGUGCCCAGGCUCAAGCAAUCUGCCUAUCUUGGCCUCCCAAAGUGCUGGGAUUACAGGCAUGAGCCCAGCCCCCAAUCAGCUUUAACAGUAGGGGCCAGGGCCAGGGCAGGGAAGCCCCUCUAAGAGGCUACUGCACUGACUCAGCCAUGUAAUGUGCCUGCUCCCCCUUUGCCUUCUGCCACGAGUGGAAGCUUCCUGAGGCCUCAUCAGAAGCAGAUACUGGCUCCUUGCUUCCUGUACAGCCUGUGGAACCAUGAGCCAAAUAAACCUCUUUUCUUUAUAAAUUACCCAGCCUCAGAUAUUCCCUUAUUGGAGUGCAAAACAGACUAACACAGGAUCCAAUUUGACAGAAGAGGCCAGCGCCACGGGAGUGGUGUGGACUGCAGCUAUAAACAG
rnacentral:lncRNA from 1 species